rnacentral:piRNA from 1 species
UCGCGGGCUGAUUAGGUUUCACCCAAAGG